AACCAGUGAGUUCUUCUUGAGUUUCUUAACAACUCUUCAGAAGGAAUCGAAGCCUUAAAUUGACGUUUUUACGUCGAAUUGGAGCUCGCCGUUUUCUGCAGUUUCUCGCCGGUUUCUGGAAAAUUCCGGCCACCUUCAUACUGUUCAAGGUGAUCGACGGUUUGAUUUGGCGGACGAUUCGUGAAAUUGUAUUUUGAGCUGUUAAGAAGACGCAGCGGGAAUUUAGAGCGGGUAAUCCUACAGGACAGGAGAAUCAGGAAGGUGAUCGAGCUGUGUAGAGUAGCUGCUUGUGAUACUCUGAUUUUAUGUUGUGAGGUUCGUUAUGCUCGUUUAGAGUUUUACAAUUUUACUUUGUAAGAGGGAAUUGUAAUAAUUAACUCGAAGUUUACCGAUUUGGAAAUUUUGUGUAAGUGGUGGAGUUGUUUCUGAGAAAAGAA